UCUGGAUCGUUCGUUUUGCGAUACACAGUAAAUUCUGAAACCCACUUUUCAUCUCAGCCGUCGGAUGCAGUAAUGUUUUUCCUACCGGAUGCUGUCUGUUCUGGGUGCAUGACGGCUGGGACCAUGCAUGCGUGGGGCCGUUUGUUUGAGACAACCAAAGUUGGGGCUCGCGUCGCUCAGAAAAUCGAAGACGGUAGAAACCCUAGCCAACCAAAAUCCUCCUCCUCUCCCCAAUCCCGUGCCUCCCGUCCUCCCCCAAUCCCCGCCUCAUCUCACCUCUUCCUCCUCGCUCCCGCCCCUCGACUCCGCCAGCCGCCGAGUCGCCGCCGCCGCCGAGUUCUCCUCCCCCAACCCGCGCCGCCGGGGUCAGCCCGAGUGAUGGAGGUGCAUGCAGGGGGUCACCACGGCUUGGGCAGCCGAUUCGGGUGGUGGCGUCGGUGGUGGCGGGUGGAGGUGAGGCGGGAGCGGCCGGAGAUAGGAUCGCGGGGGGCGGAUCUACGGCGGCGACUGGAGGCGCCGGGUACGGCGGAGACGGGCCAGUGCAGGGUGGAUCUGCUCCGGCGACCACCGGAGGUGACGGGCUCGCGCGGGGCGGAUCCACGGAGCUACUUCUCUCGCUGCCUCGAAUCGUCCAUGGCCCGGACGAGCGGAAGGGCCGCCACUCGUCUCGCCGCCUCGCAUCGUCGCGAGGAGCUGUCUUCGCCUCUCUUUCAGCUGCUAUGGUACGCGAAAGAUCCGCCACCCUCCUCCCAGUUUUGUCCGUCCAUGGCCUGGUCAUCCCAUUCCCCUUUAUAUAUCUCUCUCUCUCAACUGCUUGGGAGGGAAGAAGGUGUUGGUGUUCAAGAGAUGGGGAGAUGGGGUGGCUGCUGGGAUUCGUUCACAUCCAUGGCUCUGUACCAAAAAUCCCCAAACCCUAGGUUAUUUCUGCAUGUUCAGGCCAUGAAUCGUCUCCUUCUCUGAAAUGGUGGGCUUUCUCCAAUUGAUCAUAUGCUAUUCUUGCUUUAGCUAAAGAUUGCAAGUUGUUGUCCGCUGCAGGAGACAGACUCUAGCCUCCAUUCUCGCUUCAUUAAAUUGCCGGCGCAAUGCAGAGCUAGCUCCAAUUAUAAUAUUAUAUGCAGUUUGUUUUGUCAAAUUGUUUCCUGGUUUGAGGCUGAAGAUGUGCACACUAAUUAUUUCUAUAGAUGUCAGGCGUAAAAGACUAUUGAUUGGAUGACAAUAGGAGGACAAGAGAUGCCACAUUACCUCCUUGGCCCUCCUUGGCCUCUUUUCCCGUAAAGGAUCUGCAGGUUCUCUCUGUCUUUUUGGUCAGUAACUCUGACAUGUUUACCAUAGCUACAUGUAGUCUUAUAGAUCUAAGAAUUUAUUUUAAUUAGAAAAAGCACUACUUUAUAGUGCUAUUGUUGGCUCAGUAAUGGUGCCUUUCAACCUCUGACACAUACUAUUUCCUUUACAUGCUUAUUAUUGACUUGCAUGGAAAGAUCAAGAUUAUGCCAGACCAUAAAGUUAUUUGGCUGAAUCCUCUUAUAUGAAGCAAGUGCACUGUGCAGAUUACAUAUACGUUUUGGACAUGGAGCCACAUUCAUUGCCAAUAAGAUCAUUUUCUGCAUCCACUAUCGGCGAUCGAAGAGGCAUACGUUGAGUUUGGGUGCCCAGGAGACGGCAACGUUGGUGUCCAUGUGUCCUGCUGCAGGUGUUGCCGCUUCUGAAGCGAUGGAGAGGAGCAACGGAUGAUAGCUUGGGGAUACUUGAUAGCUAAGAUCACGUGUGCACAGAUGAACUGCAAAUGACAAUCAAUUAGGAAGUUUGGACAUUUGCUGCAAGCUGUUAGCCAUCGUGGCCCUAAGCACCAGGUGAAACAAGAAGCUUGGUGGUUGGUCAUGGGGAAUGUUGCAGGCUUGGAGCUAUAUGGUCUGAAGAGAAUUAGUUCUGCAGAUUGUAUGCUUAACACUCGCAUACAAUUGCCACAUACGUGCCAUGCCCAGAGACUGUCAUUGAGCUCCUCAAAUCACUAGCUGAUGAGGGAAGCAGGGGUACAUGGAUGCUAGGAUGGAGGCAACAAAGAAUUGUUCUCAGUUGGAAGGUGUCAUUUUAAUGAUAUCAUAUAGUUGAGUACCUCCUUUCUCUUCCCUUCAGCAAUGCAGCGCCAGAGUCUAAGCUUGUAACCGGAUGCUUUCCCUUGAGUCUCGGACAGAUGCUUACUGAAGUACGACCUGAAGAGAAAACGAAUGUUCCAGCACUGAAGCUCCAGCUGAAGACGGCAAUGAUGUCAUUGAGCUUCCUCAUGUACCUUUUAAAGCACUACAGAUGCAAUAAGCUCCAAGGAUAACAGUUUUGGGAGAGGCAGUACCUACUUAGUCGGACGGAACCGACCCGAACAGUACAAGUCCUGCAGUUUUGGAGGAGCUGUAAAAUAUCUACCAUUUGAUUGUGCUAUUUUAUUUCAGUUAUUUCAUUAUUUUUAGUGUAUGCCUAUUGUACAUUCAGUAGUCUUGGCCUAAAUUAUGGCACCGGUGUCCUAUUGUCUCUUGAUUGUCACUUUAGACUGAUUUGCACUUGCAGCAUACUGUAUGUAUGCAGAACCUCGUCUCCUCAAGAUGGCUGCAGUUAACCUAGAUAAUACAACCUCAAGCGACGCCGGCAACAAACACCCCCAACUAGGAUUCGGCUGUCCAGAAGAUUCAGAGACAGUGACAACGGCCAUCUGCAGAACAGGCAGGAAACACAUGAUCAUUGAUGUUCAGCUUGAUUACCACAACAACAGAGUUUAUUCUUUGUGCGAAGUGUUGCGCAUCACUAUGCCUCCCUCCACAUCAAGUGCAUCAAGGUAGAGCAUCACUUUGUUUUUGUGCGGAAGGAAGAGCAUUAGUUUAUAAGCAGAGCAAGGAUUUAGGAUGAUAAUGUUGUAGAUGCCAACGAUGAGGAUUAUUGAUGUGUAUAUUGUGCCACAUUCAAAAUUAUUUUCUAAACUGCAUGUUCAUAGACGGUGAUCACUAGCUUGCCACCGCAUGAAGGACCUAACCUGAGCUUUCACGCGCUUGAUGAACAAUUUGACCUGUUAGAUAAAGUUUUGAAUACAUGGGAUAACAUGGUUGGUGUUGAGCACUUGGAAGAGGAUUCUGAUGGCAAGGCGAGACUGAAGGCUCGGCAUUCUGCUGGAUAAAUGAGCGCCUCCCGGAGAGGGUGUGGAAUGGUCUACAUGGAGUACAGGUGCUGCCUCGCUGUAUUUCCAUUUGAUUUUUGCCUCUAUACUGUAAUUUCAUUGUAGUUUGUUUUCUGAAUGCUUACGUGCGAGAGGAGUGAAGAAGGACCCAGCUAAGAGGCAUCAGCUAAGCUGUAUAAGACACAUUGCACUUAGUGGUUCUGUUAGUAUGGCAUCUGCUGUAUUUGCUUUGCUGGGACA